UACGUAGGGUGCAAGCGUUUGUCCGGAAUUAUUGGGCGUAAAGAGCUCGUAGGCGGUCUGUCGCGUCGGCUGUGAAAACCCGAGGCUCAACCUCGGGCCUGCAGUCGAUACGGGCAGACUAGAGUGUGGUGAGGGGAGACUGGAAUUCCGUGGUGAUAGCGGUGAAAUGCGCAGAAUAUCAGGAGGGAACACCGGCGGGCCGAAGGCGGGUCUCUGGGCCGAUAAACUGACGCUGGAGGAGCGAAAGCCGUGGGGGAGCGAACAGGA
rnacentral:rRNA from 1 species